UACGAAGGGUGCAAGCGUUGCUCGGAAUUAUUGGGCGUAAAGGGUAGGUAGGUGGUUACGUAUGUCUGAGGUGAAAGCCCUAAGCUUAACUUAGGAAGUGCCCCGGAAACGGCGUAACUAGAGUGCUGGAGAGGUUCGUAGAAUUCCCGGUGUAGCGGUGAAAUGCGUAGAGAUCGGGAGGAAUACCAGAGGCGAAGGCGGCGAACUGGACAGUUACUGACACUAAACUACGAAAGCGUGGGGAGCAAACAGG
rnacentral:rRNA from 1 species